GCAAGUCGACUGGAAUUCUUCAUCGGAAGAUAGUACGGUGGCGGACGGGUGAGUAACGCGUAAAGAAUUUGCCCUUCAGACUGGGACAACUAACCGAAAGGUUAGCUAAUACCGGAUAUUAUGAGACCUUGGCAUCAAGGACUUAUGAAAGCUAUAUGCGCUGGAGGAGAACUUUGCGUUCCAUUAGCUAGUUGGUAGGGUGAAAGCCUACCGUGGCAAUGAUGGGUAGCCGGCCUGAGAGGGUGAUC
rnacentral:rRNA from 1 species